GAAGCAGAACGAUCACUAGAGGAAUGGGUCCAUACACGCUGCGUUGUCUACAAUGGCAUCAGUAAGGAGCCGUUUUAUCUGCACUGUGUGGAUGCAUCUGUGCUUUCUUUCAGCCAUGAAUACACAGAAUUGCAGUGAAUUCAGUCAGACAGAGACCAUCAGAUCUGUCAGAGAAUGUCAACCAACAUCAGCUGCAAUUACAGAAAAAACAGAAGUCAAUAUCUUCUAGCAUCUUUGAGAACAAAACAAAAACUGUGUGAAUACUUCUAUUCAAAUGGAUCCUGGACUAAACAAUUCUGUCACAAAAACAUCACAUUGAUAUGGAUUCCAGAAACAGAGGAAAUAUCAUUUCAUCUCAUACAUCUUCAGAUAAAUAAUUCAGGCGUUUACACAUGUGCUGUUGAAGAACACGUACCACCACCUACAAAGUGUUUGGGAAAGACGAGCAUAUACAUUCAUGUAAAAGUUCUACCAUCUCUUACCCUGCAGCUGAUGAACAGCACUAAUGUCUCCUGUGUGGAGCUUCUCUGCUCUCUGCAGGGUUUAAGACCACAGCAGGUAAACUUCACAUGGACCAGAGCUACUCAGCUUCUUCACCAUCACGAGUCCAGGAACAUGAACAGCACGUUGAUGCUCUGCAAGCCGAACUGGACAGACGGAGAAACAUUCACUUGUCACGCCAGUUACUCACACAGCCACACACUCUACAGCAAGAACAUCACACUCCCAUGCAACUCAGUUCUACCAUCUCUUACCCUGCAGCUGAUGAACAGCACUAAUGUCUCCUGUGUGGAGCUUCUCUGCUCUCUGCAGGGUUUAAGACCACAGCAGGUAAACUUCACAUGGACCAGAGCUACUCAGCUUCUUCACCAUCACGAGUCCAGGAACAUGAACAGCACGUUGAUGCUCUGCAAGCCGAACUGGACAGACGGAGAAACAUUCACUUGUCACGCCAGUUACUCACACAGCCACACACUCUACAGCAAGAACAUCACACUCCCAUGCAACUCAGGUUCAGUUGUGCGUUAUAUAGUCGUUGGGAUCCUUUUUGGCUUAUUGAUUGGCACUGCUUUGUCCAUUGAGGUUUACUAUCAAUGUCUCACUGGAUGCCGUCACCAGGCUCCUGCAUCUGAACUUGUCUCAACCUCUCAUAUCUAGUACAUCAACAGCACAAACUGAAACAAACAUAUCUGGUACCAAAAAAGAGGCUUUGAUGACUUUAGGAGUGCCAUUACUAUUGCACAACACCAGAUAUUACUCUUCCCUGCCAGCAGAGGUCGCAAUCUUCCAAAUUCUCAUGCAACUUCUGACAGCCACUUCUCGGUCACAAGAUUGGCAAGACUUUGUAGUGUGUUGCUGAACUUG